UUUUCCUUUUGAGUGCUGAUAUUACUCUAACCCUAUAACAGCAACCAAUAAAAUUAUUAACAUCACCCAGUUUUUCUCUCUCCUCUAAGUCACUAUAAGGCUUUUUGAAAUGGUCUUGUGCCUCUUUUACUUUGAUGGGGGUAUAAGCAUUACAGUCCUUAGCCCCUUAAUCUUAGAGGCAGCCCAUUCAAAUCAUGCCGUAUCUUAGUACCAUGGCUCUUGUGUGGUCAUACCAUUGUAACUUCCAUUCACAUAGGGCAUUCCAUGAGGUUUUUGCCUCAUGGUCUGUGGGUAAAUACGUUGUUUGAAAUGCUUAACAGGAGGAUCCUAAAUGGGCACUCUAAGCAAAUGUAGAGAAUAUUUUUUACAUUUAGAAUUUGCAUUGCAUGCUUAGAGUAUAAAUUUGAUCCAAUUGCCCUUGUUUGCUUUAAAGUUUAAACACUAGAAUGUGAAAAUUUGCUGAUGGAAUUUCAAUUGCUUUAUAAUGUUCUAUUUGGCGAGAAAAGAACCUGUUAUAUAUGCAUAGACAAGAAAAUGUGGAUUUGUUUUAUAAUGAUAAAAGAACAUGUGACGGUUAAUCUUUUCAGUGUUUGCACCAUAUUAACUCAUGGUAAUUUUCAGCCUUGGAGGGUUUACAGCUUUGGUUGCAGCAGUGGGGUUGCAUGAACAAGUUGUUACUAAAUUCUGCUGGACAGUUUGGAAACCCAAAUGCAGAAUCCAACAAGUCUGAAGAAUCAAUCUUACAGAAAUUUGUCCUGAAGCUGCUGAAGGAAAUUUUCCAGCGUGUAGUUCUUGGAUUUUUGUUUUGGCAAGCAAAGCAACCAGCUCGCAUUGAAUCUGUAUUAAAGAGUGUGUAUAUAAAUACUUCCAAUGUGGAUAGCUAUCUUGUAGAAUCAAUUACAAGACCAGCAGCUGAUCCCAAUGCUGGAGAAGUUUAUUACAGGUAUAUUUGACUACAAUCAUCUCAUUAGAAAAGAGAUCUUCUACAUUGGCUUCUCCAUAUAUAUUUAGAACUUUUCAAGUCUUUAUAUGUUCCAUUUUCUUGUUUAAUAUGGUUACAGUGAUAGUUCCUAUAAGGAGAAUGCUAAAAAUGCAGGUCAAAAUCUAUAAAAUUAGUCAUUGACAACACCUUUUUGCACAAUCUUUGAUACCUUCUUAAUCUUUUCUGCAGAUUAAUGACUCGGUUCAUGUUGAAUCAGAGCAAAUAUACUUUAGACAAUGCCUUAAGCCAACUGAAAUGCCCAUUGUUAUUGCUUUGGGGUGACUUAGAUCCAUGGGUGGGUCCUGCCAAGGCUAAUCGAAUCAAAGAGUUUUAUCCAAGGACAACUCUUGUGAACUUACAGGCUGGUCACUGCCCACAUGAUGAAGUUCCCGAGCUUGUUAAUAGAGCUUUAAUGGAUUGGUUGUCGUCUAUGACACCAGAAGCCUCUUUGCAGACAGUGUAGAAGUACUCAAAUUUUACAGCAUUACUGCCAACAUAUAUCUGCUUUGAGGCAUUACUUGUAAAUUAAUUGUAUAUUUGUUGAUCAAAAUUAAACCUUUCAUUGCAAGUAUAGAUAAUAAGACAUUGGUCAUCAUGGACCCCUUAAGGCAGAAAGAUAUGGAUUUUGAGAGAGUUGGCCAGUAUUUCAUGGUCAUUGCAGCUACACCUUGUCAAUAUGAUUUAUUGCUUGUGUGGGCAACUAAUUUAAAGCUAUUUUAUGAAUUCUUUUGUACCAUGAUACGCUGCCAGCAAUUUUUUGAACUGCAGAAGCACAUUGCAAAGAGGACUAUGAAAAUUAGACUUUGAGAAAUUACACAAAUAUCUAUUAUCUGUCUUUUGUCAAUAAUGAUAUGGAAUUUUCUUGAAAUGCAUUUUUAUUGUGAAUAUAGGUCCAACAGGGGAAGCUGUACAGUAAGUCGUCCAACCUAAUUGAGUUCCUGAACCAUUUUUUCUUUUGUUUCUUAUCAAAUGAGAAAUUGAAUUUUUCUAAAGGGAAAACUCAUGCAACUCCUGUUUGGCUGUAAUAUUAUAGUUCGACACUAAAGUUGUAUUGUACUCUCUCAUUGACAAAUUGAAU
rnacentral:misc_RNA from 1 species